AUGAAGGGUGCUCACCGCUUCGGGAUCAAGGGCAAACUAGCUCCUCGCUAUAUUGGCCCAUUCACUAUUCUCGAAAGGCGUGGAAAAGUGGCAUACCAACUGGAACUACCGCCGAACCUUUCUCAGGUUCACGAUGUGUUCCAUGUGUCACAGCUCCGCCGAUGCUUCAAGGAUCCAAUCCGAGCUGUGGAUCAUGAAGUGCUCGAAUUGCAGCAAGACCUCUCCUAUAAGGAGCAUCCGGUCCGCAUUCUCGACCAAGCUGAACGCCGCACACGUCAGAAGGCGAUCAAGUUUCUCAAAGUCCAGUGGUCGCACCAUUCUGAAGAUGAGGCCACUUGGGAACGAGAGGAUCGUCUGCGCGAAGAAUACCCCGCACUGUUUCCUUCUACCUCCUAA
rnacentral:rRNA from 1 species